rnacentral:rRNA from 1 species
GAUUCGUCACACUAUCAUUAACUGAAUCCAUAGGUUAAUGAGGCGAACCGGGGGAACUGAAACAUCUAAGUACCCCGAGGAAAAGAAAUCAACCGAGAUUCCCCCAGUAGCGGCGAGCGAACGGGGAGGAGCCCAGAGCCUGAAUCAGCAUGUGUGUUAGUGGAAGCGUCUGGAAAGGCGCGCGAUACAGGGUGACAGCCCCGUACACAAAAGCGCAUGUGCUGUGAGCUCGAUGAGUAGGGCGGGACACGUGGUAUCCUGUCUGAAUAUGGGGGGACCAUCCUCCAAGGCUAAAUACUCCUGACUGACCGAUAGUGAACCAGUACCGUGAGGGAAAGGCGAAAAGAACCCCGGCGAGGGGAGUGAAAAAGAACCUGAAACCGUGUACGUACAAGCAGUGGGAGCACCCUUCGGGGUGUGACUGCGUACCUUUUGUAUAAUGGGUCAGCGACUUAUAUUCUGUAGCAAGGUUAACCGUAUAGGGGAGCCGGAGGGAAACCGAGUCUUAACCGGGCGUUAAGUUGCAGGGUAUAGACCCGAAACCCGGUGAUCUAGCCAUGGGCAGGUUGAAGGUUGGGUAACACUAACUGGAGGACCGAACCGACUAAUGUUGAAAAAUUAGCGGAUGACCUGUGGCUGGGGGUGAAAGGCCAAUCAAACCGGGAGAUAGCUGGUUCUCCCCGAAAGCUAUUUAGGUAGCGCCUCGUGAAUUCAUCUCCGGGGGUAGAGCACUGUUUCGGCUAGGGGGCCAUCCCGGCUUACCAACCCGAUGCAAACUGCGAAUACCGGAGAAUGUUAUCACGGGAGACACACGGCGGGUGCUAACGUCCGUCGUGAAGAGGGAAACAACCCAGACCGCCAGCUAAGGUCCCAAAGUCAUGGUUAAGUGGGAAACGAUGUGGGAAGGCCCAGACAGCCAGGAUGUUGGCUUAGAAGCAGCCAUCAUUUAAAGAAAGCGUAAUAGCUCACUGGUCGAGUCGGCCUGCGCGGAAGAUGUAACGGGGCUAAACCAUGCACCGAAGCUGCGGCAGCGAACGUAUCACCCAAGACAACUUUACGGAGUUGACGAUUGACGGAGCGAAGCGACGUCAAAGCGUUCAUUAAAGUCGAGUUGGCUUAGGGAUACGUUCGUUGGGUAGGGGAGCGUUCUGUAAGCCUGUGAAGGUGUGUCGUGAGGCAUGCUGGAGGUAUCAGAAGUGCGAAUGCUGACAUAAGUAACGAUAAAGCGGGUGAAAAGCCCGCUCGCCGGAAGACCAAGGGUUCCUGUCCAACGUUAAUCGGGGCAGGGUGAGUCGACCCCUAAGGCGAGGCCGAAAGGCGUAGUCGAUGGGAAACGGGUUAAUAUUCCCGUACUUGGUGUUACUGCGAAGGGGGGACGGAGAAGGCUAUGUUGGCCGGGCGACGGUUGUCCCGGUUUAAGCGUGUAGGUGUGUGUUCCAGGUAAAUCCGGUUCACUUUAACACUGAGGCGUGACGACGAGGCACUACGGUGCUGAAGCAACAAAUGCCCUGCUUC